ACGGGAGGCAGCAGUGGGGAAUAUUGGGCAAUGGGCGAAAGCCUGACCCAGCGACGCCGCGUGAAGGAAGAAGGCCUUCGGGUUGUAAACUUCAGUCAACAGGGAAGAAACAAAUGACGGUACCUGUGGAGGAAGCCACGGCUAACUACGUGCCAGCAGCCGCGGUAAUACGUAGGUGGCGAGCGUUAUCCGGAUUUACUGGGUGUAAAGGGUGUGUAGGCGGGACUGCAAGUCAGAUGUGAAAAUUAUGGGCUCAACCCAUAACCUGCAUUUGAGACUGUGGUUCUUGAGUGUCGGAGAGGUAAAUGGAAUUCCCAGUGUAGCGGUGAAAUGCGUAGAUGUUGGGAGGAACACCAGUGGCGAAGGCGGUUUACUGGACGACAACUGACGCUGAGACACGAAAGCGUGGGGAGCAAACAGGAUUAGAUACCCUGGUA
rnacentral:rRNA from 1 species